rnacentral:rRNA from 1 species
AGAGUUUGAUCCUGGCUCAGGAUGAACGCUGGCGGCGUGCCUAACACAUGCAAGUCGAGCGAUUCUCUUCGGAGAAGAGCGGCGGACGGGUGAGUAACGCGUGGGUAACCUGCCCUGUACACACGGAUAACAUACCGAAAGGUAUGCUAAUACGAGAUAAUAUGUUUUUGUCGCAUGGUGGAAGUAUCAAAGCUUUUGCGGUACAGGAUGGACCCGCGUCUGAUUAGCUAGUUGGUAAGGUAACGGCUUACCAAGGCGACGAUCAGUAGCCGACCUGAGAGGGUGAUCGGCCACAUUGGAACUGAGACACGGUCCAAACUCCUACGGGAGGCAGCAGUGGGGAAUAUUGCACAAUGGGCGAAAGCCUGAUGCAGCAACGCCGCGUGAGCGAUGAAGGCCUUCGGGUCAUAAAGCUCUGUCCUCAAGGAAGAUAAUGACGGUACUUGAGGAGGAAGCCCCGGCUAACUACGUGCCAGCAGCCGCGGUAAUACGUAGGGGGCUAGCGUUAUCCGGAAUUACUGGGCGUAAAGGGUGCGUAGGUGGUUUCUUAAGUCAGAGGUGAAAGGCUACGGCUCAACCGUAGUAAGCCUUUGAAACUGGGAAACUUGAGUGCAGGAGAGGAGAGUGGAAUUCCUAGUGUAGCGGUGAAAUGCGUAGAUAUUAGGAGGAACACCAGUUGCGAAGGCGGCUCUCUGGACUGUAACUGACACUGAGGCACGAAAGCGUGGGGAGCAAACAGGAUUAGAUACCCUGGUAGUCCACGCCGUAAACGAUGAGUACUAGCUGUCGGAGGUUACCCCCUUCGGUGGCGCAGCUAACGCAUUAAGUACUCCGCCUGGGAAGUACGCUCGCAAGAGUGAA